GAGUUGAGUCGCAGAUUCGACAGGUUAUUAUCUACUGGAGAUAUUCUUAUUCCGAAGCAAACGAGGAGGAUAUCCUUUUGGACUGAGGAGAUAUGAACUUUGAAAGGCAGAGGGGACUGGUUCCUCCGAAGUCUAAUGAAACGAAAAGAAGGCGAGCGGUAACCAUCUUAGUGGCAGUGGCCUGUAUUUGCUGGCAGAUCAGUGGAGCCAAAGCAAGCACGACUGCUCCCAGUGCAACAAACCCGACGAUAUCUCCAAGCACAACAAACAUUCCAGAAACUACAACUGAAGCUCCAACCACAACUAAAGCAGCAACAACAACGCCAGCUCCAAUCACAACACAAGCACCAACAACUACAACUGAAGGUGCAACCACAACUAAUGCACCGACAACAACAAC